rnacentral:rRNA from 1 species
CUGGGAUGAGGUGUGGGUAGCGGUGAAAUUCCAAUCGAACUUGGAGAUAGCUGGUUCUCUCCGAAAUAGCUUUAGGGCUAGCCUCGGAGUUGAGAAUCGUGGAGGUAGAGCACUGUUUGGACUAGGGGCCCGUCUUGGGUUACUGAAUUCAGAUAAACUCCGAAUGCCACUGAUUUAUAUCCGGGAGUCAGACUGCGAGUGAUAAGAUCCGUAGUCGAAAGGGAAACAGCCCAGACCACCGAUUAAGGUCCCUAAAUAUGUGUUAAGUGGAAAAGGAUGUGGAAUUGCACAGACAACUAGGAUGUUGGCUCAGAAGCAGCCACCAUUUAAAGAGUGCGUAAUAGCUCACUAGUCGAGUGAUCCUGCGCCGAAAAUGUAACGGGGCUAAACACAUUACCGAAAUCGUGGAUGCAGCUUUGCUGCAUGGUAGGAGAGCGUUCUAAGGGCGGUGAAGCCGGACCGUAAGGACCGGUGGAGCGCUUAGAAGUGAGAAUGCCGGUAUGAGUAGCGAAAGACAGGUGAGAAUCCUGUCCACCGAAUGACUAAGGUUUCCUGGGGAAGGCUCGUCCUCCCAGGGUUAGUCGGGACCUAAGCUGAGGCCGAGAGGCGUAGGCGAUGGACAACGGGUUGAUAUUCCCGUACCGGUCUGAUUUGUUUGAGCAAUGGAGGGACGCAGGAGGCUAACGAUGCGCACUAUCGGAUGUGCGUCCAAGCAGCAAGUCUGUCGGCGAGUCAAAUGCUUGCCGGCUCAAGGACAAGCUGUGACGGGUAUGAACGAUUUAUCGUUCUAAGUGAGUGACGUCACACUGCCAAGAAAAGCUUCUAGUUAGAAUCAGACCGCCCGUACCGCAAACCGACACAGGUAGUCGGGUCGAGAAGACCAAGGUGAGCGAGAGAACUCUCGUUAAGGAACUCGGCAAAAUGACCCCGUAACUUCGGGAGAAGGGGUGCUGAUCGCAAGAUCAGCCGCAGUGAAUAGGCCCAGGCGACUGUUUAUCAAAAACACAGGUUUCUGCAAAAUCGUAAGAUGAAGUAUAGGGGCUGACGCCUGCCCGGUGCUGGAAGGUUAAGAGGAUGGGUUAGCGCAAGCGAAGCUCAGAAUUGAAGCCCCAGUAAACGGCGGCCGUAACUAUAACGGUCCUAAGGUAGCGAAAUUCCUUGUCGGGUAAGUUC